ACUCAAAUGAAUAGACGGGGACCCGCACAAGCAGCGGAGCAUGUGGUUUAAUUCGAAGAUACGCGAAAAACCUUACCAAGACUUGACAUCCCAGGCAUAGCCAUGAAAGUGGUGAAUUCCAGCAAUGGACCUGGUGACAGAUGGUGCAUGGUUGUCGUCAGCUCGUGUCGUGAGAUGUUCGGUUAAGUCCGAUAACGAGCGCAACCCUUGUUUUCAGUUGCCAGCAUUAAGUUGGGCACUCUGGAGAGACUGCCGUAGAUAAUACGGAGGAAGGUGGGGAUGACGUCAAAUCAUCAUGCCUCUUACGUCUUGGGCUACACACGUGCUACAAUGGUAGUGACAAAGAGUUGCAAAGCAGCAAUGCCUAGCCAAUCUCAAAAAAACUAUCUCAAUUCGGAUCGUGGGCUGCAACCCGCCCACGUGAAGUCGGAGUUGCUAGUAAUCCCAAAUCAGCAUGUUGGGGUGAAUGCGUUCCCGGGUCUUGUACACACCGCCCGU
rnacentral:rRNA from 1 species